rnacentral:rRNA from 1 species
GACAGAGGUGCCAAGCGUUAGGCGGAAUCACUGGGCUUAAAGCGUGUGUAGGCGGAUCGUUAAGUACCUUGUGAAAUCCCACGGCUCAACCGUGGAACUGCUGGGUAUACUGGCGGUCUUGAGCCACCUAGGGGCGAGCGGAACAAGCGGUGGAGCGGUGAAAUGCGUAGAUAUCGCUUGGAACGCCAACGGUGAAAACAGCUCGCUGGGGGUGUGCUGACGCUGGAGACACGAAAGCCAGGGGAGCGAACGGG